AUCAGUAACUGGGGUGAAGUCGUAACAAGGUAACCGUAGGAGAACCUGCGGUUGGAUCACCUCCUUU
rnacentral:rRNA from 1 species